GGGGAUCCCUUCUAAAAUCUAUUGCUUCUGGAAUUAUCGUGUAAUUGCUAAUAUCAUUAAUUACGCAAUAUGCCUAACGGCAAAUCGACAUCUAUUGGUGGGGUGUUUGUUUAGGGGAGUUAUCUUUUCUUAUCUACUGGUCACCAGAUGAUGAGAACAAAUUGGGAACCAGAAUAGAAAAUUAACACGAGUUAUCUCGCCUUGAAAUGUCCAUAAUUCUUGUACAUGACA
rnacentral:lncRNA from 1 species